rnacentral:ncRNA from 2 species
UCUUUGCAGUCGAAUGAUGGUGUAACGAAGCAUGUUCAUGUUUCGUUAGUAAAAGGGAAUCCGGUGCAAUACCGGAGCUGUACCCGCAGCUGUAAGCUCAAGAAAACCUCGGUCUACCAUUGCCACUGUCCGCCUGCGGACGGGAAGGCUACCGAACUAAGGGAGCAAGCCAGAAAACCUGCCGCAAUUCUUAAUACCGA